GAAAGGGGCGGUAAUACCAGAUAAUGUCCUUCGGGACCAAAGAUUUAUCGGCAUUGGAGCGGCCUAUCUCCUAUCAGCUUGUUGGUGAGGUAACGGCUCACCAAGGCAACGACGGGUAGCGGGACUGAGAGGUUGGCCCGCCACAUCGGGACUGAGACACUGCCCGGACCUCCACGGAGGGCUGCAGUAACGGAUAUUGGGCAAUGGGCGAAAGCCUGACCCAGCAAUGCCGCGUGCAGGAUGAAGCCCCUAGGGGUGUAAACUGCUGUCAGGGGUCAGAAAGCUGGUUUCGGCCAGUUGAUCAACCCCAGAGGAAGUCACGGCUAACUUCGUGCCAGCAGCCGCGGUAAUACGAAGGUGGCAAGCGUUAUUCGGAAUCAUUGGGCUUAAAGGGCACGCAGGCGGAACAGUGUGUGUUGUGUGAAAUCCCCCGGCUUAACCGGGGAAUUGCACAGCAAACUGCUGUUCUUGAGGCAGGUAGGGGUGCACGGAACUCUUGGUGGAGCGGUGGAAUGCGUAGAUAUCAAGAGGAACGCCAGAGGUGAAGACGGUGCACUGGACCUGUCCUGACGCUGAGGUGCGAAAGCGUGGGGAGCGAACGGGAUUAGAUACCCCGGUAGUCCACGCCGUAAACGAUGUCUACUAGGUCGUGGGUGUUCUGACACAUUCACGGCCGGAGCAAAUGUGUUUAGUAGACCGCCUGGGGAGUACGGCCGCAAGGUUAAAACUCAAAUGAAUUGACGGGGGCUCACACAAGCGGUGGAGCAUGUGGAUUAAUUCGAAGCAACGCGCAGAACCUUACCUGGGUUUGACAUGCUUGGAUGCCUGCUCUGAAAGGAGUUAGGCUGCCUUCGGGUGAAACUUGCACAGGUGCUGCAUGGCUGUCGUCAGCUCGUGUCGUGAGAUGUCGGGUUAAGUCCUUUAACGAGCGAAACCCUUGCCGUUAGUUGCCAGCGAGUAAUGUCGGGGACUCUAACGGGACUGCCGGUGUUAAACCGGAGGAAGGUGGGGAUGACGUCAAGUCCUCAUGGCCUUUAUGCCCAGGGCUUCACACGUGCUACAAAGGCAAUUUACAGAGCGACGCGAUACCGCGAGGUGGAGCAAAUCGCAAAAAAAUUGCCUCAGUUCGGAUUGCAGGCUGGCAAUUCGCCUGCAUGAAGUCGGAAUCGCUAGUAAUCGCGUAUCAGCAAUGACGCGGUGAAUGUGUUCCUGAGCAUUGUACACACCGCCCGUCAAGUGAUGGAGCCGGGAGUACCCGAAGUCGGGUUGCUAACCUUUGGGAGGCGCCUGCCGACGGUAAG
rnacentral:rRNA from 1 species